ensembl:snoRNA
CUGAUACAAUGAUGAUAACAUAGUUCAGCAGAUGUAUGGUGGUGAACAACACUAUUCUGUCUUUCGCUCCUAUCUGAUGUAUCUG